UACGAAGGGGGCUAGCGUUGCUCGGAAUUACUGGGCAUAAAGCGCACGUAGGCGGUCUUUUAAGUCGGGGGUGAAAUCCUGGAGCUCAACUCCAGAACUGCCUUCGAUACUGGAAGACUCGAGUCCGGGAGAGGUGAGUAGAACUGCGAGUGUAGAGGUGAAAUUCGUAGAUAUUCGCAAGAACACCAGUGGCGAAGGCGGCUCACUGGCCCGGUACUGACGCUGAGGUGCGAAAGCGUGGGGAGCAAACAGG
rnacentral:rRNA from 1 species